GAUGAACGCUGGCGGCGUGCCUAAUACAUGCAAGUCGAGCGAACAGACGAGGAGCUUGCUCCUUUGACGUUAGCGGCGGACGGGUGAGUAACACGUAGGUAACCUACCUAUAAGACUGGGAUAACUUCGGGAAACCGGAGCUAUACCGGAUAAUAUUUUGAACCGCAUGGGUCGAUAGGUAAAGAUGGCUUUGCUAUCACUUAUAGAUGGACCUGCGCCGUAUUAGCUAGUUGGUAAGGUAACGGCUUACCAAGGCAACGAUACGUAGCCGACCUGAGAGGGUGAUCGGCCACACUGGAACUGAGACACGGUCCAGACUCCUACGGGAGGCAGCAGUAGGGAAUCUUCCGCAAUGGGCGAAAGCCUGACGGAGCAACGCCGCGUGAGUGAUGAAGGUCUUCGGAUCGUAAAACUCUGUUAUUAGGGAAGAACAAACGUGUAAGUAACUGUGCACGUCUUGACGGUACCUAAUCAGAAAGCCACGGCUAACUACGUG
rnacentral:rRNA from 1 species